GACGAACGCUGGCGGCGUGCUUAACACAUGCAAGUCGAACGGAAAGGCCCCUUUGGGGGUACUCGAGUGGCGGACGGGUGAGUAACACGUGAGUAACCUGCCCUUGACUUCGGGAUAACUUCAGGAAACUGGGGCUAAUACCGGCUAGGAAUCCUUGCUGCAUGGUGGGGGUUGGAAAGCUUCGGCGGUUUUGGAUGGACUCACGGCUUAUCAGCUUGUUGGUGGGGUAGUGGCUUACCAAGGCUUUGACGGGUAGCCGGCCUGAGAGGGCGACCGGCCACAUUGGGACUGAGAUACGGCCCAGACUCCUACGGGGGGCAGCAGUGGGGAAUAUUGCACAAUGGGCGGAAGCCUGAUGCAGCAACGCCGCGUGCGGGAUGACGGCCUUCGGGUUGUAAACCGGUUUCAGCAGGGGCGAAGCUUGUGGUGACGGUACCUGCAGAAGAAGCACCGGCUAACUACGUG
rnacentral:rRNA from 1 species